AGUGAACGCUGGCGGUAGGCCUAACACAUGCAAGUCGAACGGCAGCACAGUAAGAGCUUGCUCUUACGGGUGGCGAGUGGCGGACGGGUGAGGAAUACAUCGGAAUCUACUUUUUCGUGGGGGAUAACGUAGGGAAACUUACGCUAAUACCGCAUACGACCUACGGGUGAAAGCAGGGGAUCUUCGGACCUUGCGCGAUUGAAUGAGCCGAUGUCGGAUUAGCUAGUUGGCGGGGUAAAGGCCCACCAAGGCGACGAUCCGUAGCUGGUCUGAGAGGAUGGACAGCCAGACUGGAAGUGAGACAGGGUCCAGACUCCUGCGGGAGGCCGCAGUGGGGAAUAUUGGGCAAUGGGGGAAAGCCUGAUCCAGCCAUACCGCGUGAGUGAAGAAGGCGUUCGGGUUGUAAAGCCCUUUUGUUGGGAAAGAAAAGCAGCAGGUUAAUACCCCGCGGUUCUGACGGUACCCGAAGAAUAAGCACCGGCUAACUUCGUG
rnacentral:rRNA from 1 species